rnacentral:rRNA from 1 species
ACGGAAGGCAGCAGUGAGGAAUAUUGGUCAAUGGACGGAAGUCUGAACCAGCCAAGUCGCGUGAAGGAUGAAGGUAUUAUGUAUUGUAAACUUCUUUAGCAGUGGAGUAAUAAGGUGGUCGUGACCACUGAUGCAAGUACACUGAGAAUAAGGAUCGGCUAACUCCGUGCCAGCAGCCGCGGUAAUACGGAGGCUCCGAGCGUUAUCCGGAUUUAUUGGGUUUAAAGGGUGCGCAGGCGGCUUUUUAAGUCAGUGGUUAAAUCGUGACGCUCAACGUCAUCACGCCAUUGAUACUGGAGAGCUUGACUGCGGUCGAGGUUUGCGGAAUUCGUUGUGUAGCGGUGAAAUGCAUAGAUAUGACGAAGAACACCGAUUGCGUAGGCAGCAGACCAGGCCGUAAAUGACGCUCAUGCACGAAAGUGCGGGGAUCGAACAGGAUUAGAUACCCUGGUA